UUAACCAGUGUGGGGCACCCCAGUUGCUGAGUUGUGAUGUUGAUGUGGGGGCGGGGUCAGAGAGGGAACAAUGGCAUCUGCUCUGCUCUCCGUUGGACCUCAGUCCCUUCCACCAC